rnacentral:rRNA from 1 species
UGAGUAACCUGCCCUUAACUCUGGGAUAAGCCUGGGAAACUGGGUCUAAUACCGGAUAUGACUCCUACGGGAGGCAG